UACGUAGGGGGCAAGCGUUGUCCGGAUUUAUUGGGCGUAAAGAGCGUGUAGGCGGUCUGGUAGGUCCGUUGUGAAAACUCGAGGCUCAACCUCGAGACGCCGAUGGAAACCCUCAGACUAGAGUCCGGAAGAGGAGAGUGGAAUUCCUGGUGUAGCGGUGAAAUGCGCAGAUAUCAGGAGGAACACCGGUGGCGAAGGCGGUUCUCUGGGCAUUACCUGACGCUGAGGAGCGAAAGUGUGGGGAGCGAACAGG
rnacentral:rRNA from 1 species